AUGCAUCUAUUUGACAGACCUGGAGCAGUUAAUUGUCUGCUAUUCAGGUUUCCACUACAGAUGCAAGAAAAAAGUGUCCUCGCGCUUUCUGUCUGUCUGCUUGUGGCAGUCAAGAUUGAUUGGAGGAAUACAGGG
rnacentral:snoRNA from 1 species